UACGUAGGGUGCGAGCGUUGUCCGGAAUUAUUGGGCGUAAAGGGCUCGUAGGCGGUUUGUCGCGUCGGGAGUGAAAACACUGGGCUUAACCGAGUGCUUGCUUUCGAUACGGGCAGACUAGAGGUAUGCAGGGGAGAACGGAAUUCCUGGUGUAGCGGUGAAAUGCGCAGAUAUCAGGAGGAACACCGUUGGCGAAGGCGGUUCUCUGGGCAUUACCUGACGCUGAGGAGCGAAAGCGUGGGGAGCAAACAGG
rnacentral:rRNA from 1 species